UUCCAGCAUCAAAGACAUUGCAGUAUUUCCAAGAGCUAUCAGGCAGGGUGGGGGUGACAGGUUUCAGAGAUUUACUCAAGUGAAAAUCUGCACACACAAGCCAGAGCAGGCAUGAGGGGCGCCUGCCCUACACAUUACUUCAUCACAGUCUAACCCUGGCACACUGAAGGCUUACAGCUUGACAAAGUGGCUGGUGGUUGGGCUGCUUUCUGGAAUCCACACCCACUGGAAGCCUUGGAGUGUGAAGACAGAGUCAGCCCAAGGACAGCCCCUGCUGUAAUGGGAGACAUGCUUUCCACACUACCUGUCCAUUCUGGCUCUUGGCCCUGGGCUUUGCUUGGUGACAUUGUAAGGAUUCAGUCCUUAAUUACAUCAUCAGCCUGAGAUGGCGUACCAGCCUAAAAACACUCUCCUCCAUCAGCAUGGCCUCCACAGGUGGUGGCCAGGCAUGAGCAGCAAGCAGGGUAACCAACAUUGGUGCCAUUCGGACUCGGAUACACCACCAAGCACCGAGGACCUGCUGUGACCGCUGCCACCUGCCACCUCUUCCCCCAUCCAGGGAGACUGGGAGACAGUGAGACCGCGAGACUGUGAGUGCCACCUCCACUGGACCCCCACACAACUACCACUACCAUCACCACAUUCCCUUGUUCUAACUCACUGUUCAGCUAAUGGUACAGGACCACCACAGAACCGGAGUCCAGAGAUCAUCACAUGAGAAACUAUAACAACUAAAGUUUUUUUCUGUGUCACUAGCAUCUUGUCAAACAGAAAGUUCCCAGCCACAGCCAAGAGGGAUACAUGUCUCCAGAGCAAACAGGUAACAGACAGCAUCCCAUAUUGCCUGUCUACCUUAGAAGACUCAAGAGGCAACCGACGGCCAAUUGUCAGCUGGAAGCAGUUUUUGAGAGGAACAAUGCCCCUAUUCCCAUCUACCUGCUUUUUUUAUAAUAAAAAAAGUCUGGGAUGUAA